rnacentral:rRNA from 1 species
ACGGGAGGCAGCAGUGGGGAAUUUUGGACAAUGGGCGCAAGCCUGAUCCAGCAAUGCCGCGUGAGUGAAGAAGGCCUUCGGGUUGUAAAGCUCUUUUGUCAGGGAAGAAACGGCCUGUUCUAAUACAGUGGGCUAAUGACGGUACCUGAAGAAUAAGCACCGGCUAACUACGUGCCAGCAGCCGCGGUAAUACGUAGGGUGCAAGCGUUAAUCGGAAUUACUGGGCGUAAAGCGUGCGCAGGCGGUUUUGUAAGUCUGUCGUGAAAUCCCCGGGCUCAACCUGGGAAUGGCGAUGGAGACUGCAAGGCUAGAGUUUGGCAGAGGGGGGUAGAAUUCCACGUGUAGCAGUGAAAUGCGUAGAUAUGUGGAGGAACACCGAUGGCGAAGGCAGCCCCCUGGGUCAAAACUGACGCUCAUGCACGAAAGCGUGGGGAGCAAACAGGAUUAGAUACCCUGGUAGUCCACGCCCUAAACGAUGUCUACUAGUUGUCGGGUCUUAAUUGACUUGGUAACGCAGCUAACGCGUGAAGUAGACCGCCUGGGGAGUACGGUCGCAAGAUUAAAACUCAAAGGAAUUGACGGGGACCCGCACAAGCGGUGGAUGAUGUGGAUUAAUUCGAUGCAACGCGAAAAACCUUACCUACCCUUGACAUGGAUGGAAUCCCUGAGAGAUUGGGGAGUGCCCGAAAGGGAACCAUUACACAGGUGCUGCA